rnacentral:rRNA from 1 species
GACCGAUAGCGAACCAGUACUGUGAAGGAAAGGUGAAAAGAACCCCGGGAGGGGAGUGAAAUAGAUCCUGAAACCGCAUACAUACAAACAGUAGGAGCCUCGUUAAGGGGUGACUGCGUACCUUUUGCAUAAUGGGUCAGCGACUUACGUUUAAUGGCGAGCUUAACCGUAUAGGGGAGGCGCAGCGAAAGCGAGUUCGAACAGAGCGUUCAGUCGUUAGGCGUAGACCCGAAACCAGAUGAUCUAUCCAUGGCCAGGUUGAAGGUGUGGUAACACACACUGGAGGACCGAACCGACUAGUGUUGCAAAAUUAGCGGAUGAGCUGUGGAUAGGGGUGAAAGGCUAAACAAAUCUGGAGAUAGCUGGUUCUCCCCGAAAACUAUUGAGGUAGUGCCUCGUGUAUGACUCCAGGGGGUAGAGCACUGUUAUGGCUAGGGGGACAUGGCGUCUUACCAAACCAUGGCAAACUCCGAAUACUUGGAAGUUUGAGCACGGGAGACAGAGCACCGGGUGCUAACGUCCGGACUCAAGAGGGAAACAACCCAGACCGCCGGCUAAGGUCCCUAAUAUUGACUAAGUGGAAAACGAAGUGGAAAGGCUAAGACAGUCAGGAAGUUGGCUUAGAAGCAGCCAUCCUUCAAAGAAAGCGUAAUAGCUCACUGAUCGAGUCUUUCUGCGCGGAAGAUGUAACGGGGCUAAGUCAAUAACCGAAGCCGCGGAUUCACACUUAUGUGUGAGUGGUAGGGGAGCGUUCUGUAAGCCUGCGAAGGUGACUCGUAAGGGUUGCUGGAGGUAUCAGAAGUGCGAAUGCUGACAUGAGUAACGUUAAAGCGGGUGAAAAGCCCGCUCGCCGUAAGCCCAAGGUUUCCUGCUCUACGUUCAUCGGAGCAGGGUGAGUCGGCCCCUAAGGUGAGGCUGAGAAGCGUAACUGAUGGGAACAAGGUUAAUAUUCCUUGACCACCGCUGAAUGCGAAGGGGGGACGGAGUAUUGAAGAUCAUCCGGGUGUUGGAUAUCCCGGUUUGCGAGCGUAGGAGGCUGACAGGCAAAUCCGUCAGCGAAUCUCCGAGGCAAAGCAUCGAGCUCUCUUUUGAGCGAAGUGAUUGGAUGUGCUUCCAGGAAAAGCCUCUAAGCUCCAGUUCAGCGGGACCGUACCGCAAACCGACACUGGUGGGCGAGCUGAAUAUGCUCAGGCGCUUGAGAGAACUCAGGAGAAGGAACUCGGCAAAUUGACACCGUAACUUCGGGAUAAGGUGUGCCUUUGUAGCGUGGAGGGAGAAACACCCCGAGCGCGAAGAGGUCUCAGAUAAUCGGUGGCUGCGACUGUUUAUUAAAAACACAGCACUCUGCAAAGACGAAAGUCGACGUAUAGGGUGUGAUGCCUGCCCGGUGCUGGAAGAUUAAUUGAUGGGGUGCAAGCUCCUGAUCGAAGUCCCAGUAAACGGCGGCCGUAACUAUAACGGUCCUAAGGUAGCGAAAUUCCUUGUC